rnacentral:rRNA from 1 species
AUUGGGCCUAAGCAUCCGUAGCCGGUUCUACAAGUCUUCCGUUAAAUCCACCUGCUCAACAGAUGGGCUGCGGAAGAUACUAUGGAGCUAGGAGGCGGGAGAGGCAAGCGGUACUCGAUGGGUAGGGGUAAAAUCCGUUGAUCCAUUGAAGACCACCAGUGGCGAAGGCGGCUUGCCAGAACGCGCUCGACGGUGAGGGAUGAAAGCUGGGGGAGCAAACCGGAUUAGAUACCCCCGUAGUCC